CCUGUUAUUUUACUGUUACUCGGUUAUCAUUUACAGGCACUGUCAUUAUUUCAUCAUUACUUCAUUAGUCUGUAUUACUUAUCUUCAGUUUAUCAUGUAUCAUUUAUUGUUUAUUUCAGAGCACGUAGGAUAAAACCCAUUCUAGAUGUAAUACUCUAUCAUGUGGCGAAAGCACCUCUCGAGCUAGAGGGUCCAGUUGGGCCUCCUGCAGUCACUUGCAGGCUUACACAAACAUGCACAUACAGAGUUAUGUAAAACACGCACGUUCACAUACACACUUAAUAAGAACAGAAAGGUCGUCUUAGGACAGUCUCUCUGAGAGCUACACUAUCACAAAGUGCACAAUGUAAUACACACUUGUUUUUCUCUAAAGUAGCAGUUGAUGUCCAUAUAAGGAGAACUUUUUGAGUGCGAGGAACUGUUAUCAUUGCCAGUAAGGUCUAACUGUGUGACGUCAUAAUGACUAUAAAGCUUUCUGUCUUUGUGCAAACGAAGAAGAAGUCCGGCUCUUCCCACACUGUAAUGUGUGUUUUAAUAAAUGAUCUAUGCUGACCCAAACUAUAUCCCAGUCGUAGUCUCUUCCUCAAAAUCCGAACCAUGACAGUGGUU